CCAAUAGCGUAUAUUAAAGUUGUUGCAGUUAAAAAGCUCGUAGUUGAAUUUCGGGGUCAGCAGGUUGGUCGUGCCACUGGUAUGCACUGGCCUCGCUGAUUCCUCCCUCUUGUAGAACCGUAAUGCCAUUAAGUUGGUGUUGCGGGGAAACAGGACUGUUACUUUGAAAAAAUUAGAGUGUUUAAAGCAGGCUAACGCUUGAAUACAUUAGCAUGGAAUAAUGAAAUAGGACGAUCGAUCCUAUUUUGUUGGUUUCUAGGGUUGACGUAAUGAUUAAUAGGGAUAGUUGGGGGCAUUAGUAUUCAAUUGUCAGAGGUGAAAUUCCUGGAUUUAUUGAAGACUAACUACUGCGAAAGCAUUUGCCAAGGAUGUUUUCAUUAAUCAAGAACGAAAGUUAGGGGAUCGAAGACGAUCAGAUACCGUCGUAGUCUUAACCAUAAACUAUGCCGACUAGGGAUCGGAUGAUGUUAAUUUUUUAAUGACUCAUUCGGCGCCUUACG
rnacentral:rRNA from 1 species